CCUACGGGAGGCAGCAGUGAGGAAUAUUGGUCAAUGGACGAGAGUCUGAACCAGCCAAGUAGCGUGAAGGAUGACUGCCCUAUGGGUUGUAAACUUCUUUUAUAUGGGAAUAAAAUGUUCCACGUGUGGGAUUUUGUAUGUACCAUAUGAAUAAGGAUCGGCGAACUCCGUGCCAGCAGCCGCGGUAAUACGGAGGUUCCGAGCGUUAUCCGGAUUUAUUGGGUUUAAUGGGAGCGUAGAUGGAUUGUUAAGUCAGUCGUGAAAGUUUGCGGCUCAACCGUAAGAUUGCAGUUGAAACUGGCAGGCUGGAGUACAGUAGGGGUGGGCGGAAUUCGUGGUGUAGCGGUGAAAUGCUUAGAUAUCACGAAGAACUCCGAUUGCGAAGGCAGCUCACUGGACUGCAACUGACACUGAGGCUCGAAAGUGUGGGUAUCAAACAGGAUUAGAUACCCUUGUAGUC
rnacentral:rRNA from 1 species